GAGUUCGAUCCUGGCUCAGGAUGAACACUAGCGGCAUGCUUAACACAUGCAAGUCGGACGGGAAGUGGUGUUUCCAGUGGCGGACGGGUAAGUAACCCGUAAGAACCUGCCUUUGGGAGGCGAACAACAGCUGGAAAUGGCUGCUAAUACCCCGUAGGCUGAGGAGCAAAAGGAGGAAUCCGCCCGAGGAGGGGCUCGAGUCUGAUUAUCUAGUUGGUGAGGCAAUAGCUUACCAAGGCAAUGAUCAGUAGCUGGUCCAAGAGGAUGAUCAGCCACACUGGGAUUGAUACACGACCCAGACUCCUACGGGAGUCAGCAGUGGGGGGCAAGAAUUCUGGCCUCACAAUCACUAGCCAUUAUGCUUUUCUCUCAUGCCAUUCUUCGUUCAUGGUUCUAUAU
rnacentral:lncRNA from 1 species